UACGUAGGGUGCGAGCGUUGUCCGGAAUUAUUGGGCGUAAAGGGCUCGUAGGCGGUUUGUCGCGUCGGGAGUGAAAACACCGGGCUUAACUCGGUGCUUGCUUUCGAUACGGGCAGACUAGAGGCAUGCAGGGGAGAACGGAAUUCCUGGUGUAGCGGUGAAAUGCGCAGAUAUCAGGAGGAACACCGGUGGCGAAGGCGGGUCUCUGGGCCAUAACUGACGCUGAGGAGCGAAAGCGUGGGGAGCGAACAGG
rnacentral:rRNA from 1 species